rnacentral:rRNA from 1 species
GACGAACGCUGGCGGCGUGCCUAAUACAUGCAAGUAGAACGCUGAAGGAGGAGCUUGCUUCUCUGGAUGAGUUGCGAACGGGUGAGUAACGCGUAGGUAACCUGCCUGGUAGCGGGGGAUAACUAUUGGAAACGAUAGCUAAUACCGCAUAAGAGUAGAUGUUGCAUGACAUUUGCUUAAAAGGUGCAAUUGCAUCACUACCAGAUGGACCUGCGUUGUAUUAGCUAGUUGGUGGGGUAACGGCUCACCAAGGCGACGAUACAUAGCCGACCUGAGAGGGUGAUCGGCCACACUGGGACUGAGACACGGCCCAGACUCCUACGGGAGGCAGCAGUAGGGAAUCUUCGGCAAUGGGCGGAAGUCUGACCGAGCAACGCCGCGUGAGUGAAGAAGGUUUUCGGAUCGUAAAGCUCUGUUGUAAGAGAAGAACGAGUGUGAGAGUGGAAAGUUCACACUGUGACGGUAUCUUACCAGAAAGGGACGGCUAACUACGUG